rnacentral:rRNA from 1 species
UCUGGUUGAUCCUGCCUGAACUGAUGUGUUAAUUUCAAAGAUUAAGCCAUGCAUGUAUAAGUUUAAUCGUUUUAACGAGAAACCGCGAACGGCUCAUUACAAUGGCCAUGAUUUACUUGAUCUUGAUUAUCUAAAUGGAUCUGUGGAAAAGCUAGAGCUAAUACAUGCACCAAAGCUUUGUCCUCUCGGAAAAGCGCAUUUAUUAGAACAAAACCACGCGGCUUCGGCUGCUUCUUGUUGACUCAGAAUAACUAAGCUGACCGCAUGGCCUUGUGCCGGCGGCGUGUCUUUCAAGCGUCCACUUUAUCAACUUGACGGGAGCAUAAUCGACUCCCGUGGUGGUGACGGAUAACGGAGGAUCAGGGUUCGACUCCGGAGAAGGGGCCUGAGAAAUGGCCACUACGUCUAAGGAUGGCAGCAGGCGCGCAAAUUACCCACUCUCGGCUCGAGGAGGUAGUGACGAGAAAUAACGAGAUCGUUCUCUUUGAGGCCGGUCAUCGGAAUGGGUACAAUUUAAACCCUUUAACGAGUAUCAAGCAGAGGGCAAGUCUGGUGCCAGCAGCCGCGGUAAUUCCAGCUCUGCUAAUACAUAGAAUUAUUGCUGCGGUUAAAAAGCUCGUAGUUGGAUUCGUAUCGGUACCCUGGAACCCUCCGGGUGUUUCUGGGUGUUAUCGAUUUAUCGUAAUGUUCGGUUUUGAGUCCUUAACAGGAUUCUUAACAGGCAUUGUAAGUUUACUUUGAACAAAUCAGAGUGCUUCAAACAGGCGUUUUCGCUUGAAUGAUCGUGCAUGGAAUAAUAGAAAACGAUUUCGGUUCAGUUUUAUUGGUUUUACGGACUGAGAUAAUGGUUAACAGAGACAAACGGGGGCAUUUGUAUGGCCCCGUGAGAGGUGAAAUUCUUGGACCGUGGCCAGACAAACUACAGCGAAAGCAUUUGCCAAGAAUGUCUUCAUUAAUCAAGAACGAAAGUCAGAGGUUCGAAGGCGAUCAGAUACCGCCCUAGUUCUGACCGUAAACGAUGCCAACUAGCGAUCCGCCGAUGGAAAUUAUAUUGCCUUGGUGGGGAGCUUCCCGGAAACGAAAGUCUUCCGGUUCCGGGGGAAGUAUGGUUGCAAAGCUGAAACUUAAAGGAAUUGACGGAAGGGCACCACCAGGAGUGGAGCCUGCGGCUUAAUUUGACUCAACACGGGGAAACUCACCCGGCCCGGACACUGUGAGGAUUGACAGAUUGAUAGCUUUUUCAUGAUUCAGUGGAUGAUGGUGCAUGGCCGUUCUUAGUUCGUGGAGUGAUUUGUCUGGUUUAUUCCGAUAACGAGCGAGACUCUAACCUACUAAAUAGCUGGUACAUACUCUUAGUGUAUACAGCUUCUUAGAGGGAUUUGCGGUGUUCAGCCGAAAGAAAUUGAGCAAUAACAGGUCUGUGAUGCCCUUAGAUGUCCGGGGCUGCACGCGCGCUACACUGGCAAAAUCAACGUGCUUGUCCUACCUCGAAAGGGGCGGGUAAACCAUUGAAAAUUUGCCGUGAUUGGGAUCGGAAAUUGCAAUUAUUUUCCGUGAACGAGGAAUUCCAAGUAAGUGCGAGUCAUCAGCUCGCGUUGAUUACGUCCCUGCCCUUUGUACACACCGCCCGUCGCUGCCCGGGACUGAGCCAUUUCGAGAAAUUUGGGGACCGUUGAUUUAAUUUUUCUAAAUUACUUUGAUGGAAACCAAUUUAAUCGCAGUGGCUUGAACCGGGCAAAAGUCGUAACAAGGUAGCUGUAGGUGAACCUGCUGCUG